CUUCAGCUUUGGCUGUCCUCUUGCAGAGACCAGUGUGGACAAGUUGACCAUCAAAGUUGUUCUGCCAGAGGGAUCCAAAGACCCUUCAGCUGUGGUUCCCUUUUCAGUAGAGCAACGCUUGGAGACCAAAUAUUCAUACCUUGACGUUGUUGGGAGGACUGUGCUGGUUCUGGAAAAGAAAAAUUUAGUUCCUGAGCAUAACUCUCCUUUCCAGGUUUAUUACACUUUCAACCAAAUCUUCAUGCUAGCAGAACCAUUGAUGUUGGUAUCUGCAUU
rnacentral:misc_RNA from 1 species